rnacentral:rRNA from 1 species
CAUCUACGGAGAGUUUGAUCCUGGCUCAGGACGAACGCUGGCGGCGUGCUUAACACAUGCAAGUCGAACGGUGAACCGUCUUCGGACGGGGAUCAGUGGCGAACGGGUGAGUAACACGUGGGCAACCUGCCCCCGGCUCUGGGAUAACUCCAAGAAAUUGGGGCUAAUACCGGAUGUGACCGCUGACCGCAUGGUCUG